AAACCAUUUGGCUUCUGCGGAUGAAGAGAAAAAGAAAAAAAUGAGAGAGAAAAAAAAAAGGGAGAAGAGAACAGAGGAAGAAGGACAAAAUGAAGAGAUUCACAGGAAGAAAGACAAUGGGAGAGAGGAAGAACAAAAGAAAGAAAAGAAGUGGUUCUCCCUCUGGCGAGUUUCCUUAAUGCAUGUUUUAUAGAAAGAAGUAGGAGCAAGACGAUAGUGGAUCAAUGCGUUUGUGCUUAAUGGAAUGAGCUUUUUUGUUGUGUGAAUAUACUAAGCAUCUAAUUAAUGGCCAAUUUGUUGAUUCUGCAUCAGAUUGAUCAGUCUUUCCAAAUUCACUGUAAUUGUGAAAGCAUGCUCGAGGGUGAGACUAAUGAACUCAAGGUAUUUUGACUUUGUUAAGUGGGGCGGUGGGAGACUACCAAGAGCAUAUUGGAGGUAUAGGCCAUGCUAGAGAUGUGCCUCUCAAUUUAUAUUACAUCUUUUGUAAUGUCAAGAAAGUGUUGUGCAGGGUUUGUUGAUUGAAUUGUAUAAGAUUAAGGAUUCUA